GCGUGCGUGCGUGCGUGCGUGCGUGCGUGUUUGUUCUCAAGUAUCGAGGUGUUCCUGUUUAGACACCAUCCACCUUAGCUUUUGAGACGGGGUCUCUCGUUGGAACCUGGGACUCACUGAUUAGGACAUGCUAACCAGCCAGAAAGUCCCAGAGAUAACUGACCUGCCGCUGCCCUCCCAGCACUGAAGAUUACAACGGCAUACCAGCCCGCAGAUGAACACUCUUAGAAAAAGAAAAUCCUGUAAUAAAGCAGAAAAGUGCAGUGGAGGUUUAAGAAAAGGGUUGUGUGUAGGAAGAGGAAGAGACGCACAUGUAUGUGCAGGUAUGGAGAAGCAGCUUUUAAAAGAUGAACAAAGACAUCAAAAUGCCGGAGAGAACACGAUGAGCACAGCCUGCUGUGUCCACAGCCUACUGUGUCUGACAGCAACACAGCUUCUCAGAGGAAGGGAUCAAAGGUUCCAUUCUUCAAACUGUGCCACACCUAUACCUCACCUCUCUCCAUUUUCCUGUCACCUGCCGGGUGUUCACACAGCAACCACAUAUUAUCCACAGAGAAACCCAGUCUCCCAAAACUAAACUAAGAGAAACAAAUAAAAUUAUUUCAUUUAUUAUGAGUAUUUUUUUGGUGAAAAAAAAUUUCUAUUAACAUAAGAAAAUGAUUAGACCCAGUUCUAGGGAUACAAAUAGACUUGCAUGUAAGGGCAUGUAUGUUCUAGAUCACUGACAUGGUCUCGCCUUCUGCUUCCCCACGACAGCUGCUAUGCUCCACUAAAGAGCUUGUCCCUGAUGAAGCCUGAAGCAGAGCAUUCUUGGGGACAGGCCUUUCAUUUUCUUGCCAACUAUUUGAAGUGUUGGAUGUGCUCUUCAAGAUAGAAGAGGAAUAUAAGUAAUUCGCUCUGGUGUGGAAUUGAAACUCACGGGUUUAGACUCUUUUGAUAUAGAUUAGAAUGCAAUCCAAAUCUAAUGUUGAAAUAAUCCCUCUGUAGCUACAAGGGACAAGAGCUCCACAGAUAUCGAAAAUUACCUAUACUCAAGUGUGAUAUAUAAAAUGAUUUAGCAUUUGCAUAAAACCUACAGACAUCUAUCUUCCUAUGUUCUUUAAUUCACUUCAGAUGCUCUACAAAUAGUUGUCCUACUGCACUGUUCGGGGAGUAAUAACAGGGAAAAGGGAGGCACAUAUUAACUAUAGAUAAUAUUUUUCCCAAAUGUUUUCAAUUUGCAGUUGUUUGAGUCCAUGGAUACAGAGAACUAUUAUAUUGUUUCAAUAUUAACUUCAGCUAAAUAAACCAAGAAAAUACUAAAGGUACUGUGGUAUUUGGAGCAGGCUAGGCACACUGAUUGGUACAAAGAGCCCUUUGUAGUUUAGAAUAUUUCACAUUUCUUAAAAACCCAACAGAAAAGGUUACUCUUAUGAGGUUAUCUAUAAGGUUAGCACACAUGAAGAUUUUAUAUUUAAUUCUUCAAUUUGGGUAUCAAAAUCUUUCCUUUUUUCUUUUUUUUUUUUUUUCUUUUUUCUUUUCGGAGCUGGGGACCGAACCCAGGGUUUUGCGCUUGCUAGGCAAGCGCUCUACCACUGAGCUAAAUCCCCAACCCCCAUCAAAAUCUUAAAUAUUGCCAUCUGUUCCUGGAAAAAUUCAAUGAGUGAAUGUUUUCCAAUAGCUUCAUCUUUGUUACUGUACCUUUCCAAGAAGCUAGGCUUUAUUUCCAAUACCUACAACGUGAUACAAAUAACUUUUUUUUUCUUUUUUUUCGGAGCUGGGGACCGAACCCAGGGCCUUGCGCUUGCUAGGCAAGCGCUCUACCACUGAGCUAAAUCCCCAACCCCACAAAUAACUUUUAUUAUUAUCUGAAAUCAGUGGAAGAGACCAAUGCGCAUCAGCCAUAUGCGGUUUUGUACCAAAGUGCAUCUUGGUAGAACUCCUUAGAUUAUUUGUUUCAAUUUUCAAACCCACUUUACCACCAGUUAAGUGUUCCGUUAGCUGGAGCUAGCCCAGUGUUAGAUGAAUAUUGCCACAGCCCCC